rnacentral:rRNA from 1 species
UACGGAAGGGGCAAGCGUUGUUCGGAAUCAUUGGGCGUAAAGGGCGCGUAGGCGGUCUUGUGUGUCUGCUGUGAAAGCAUGCGGCUCAACCGUAGAAAGUCGGUGGAAACUGCAAGACUCGAGGCUGGGAGGGGCUGGUGGAAUUCCCUGUGUAGCGGUGAAAUGCGUAGAUAUAGGGGAGAACACUCGUGGCGAAGGCGGCCAGCUAGACCAGUCCUGACGCUGAGGCGCGACAGCGUGGGGAGCAAACAGG